GUUGCUCGGCUGUUGACGGGUUGGAUCGGACUCUUGGGGAUCUCGUGGUGGCAUUCCAAGAGCGGCUCGUCUCUCACUCAACAUUCUCUGCAUAACCGGGUUUCCCACGGCCAUCACGUCUAGUAAAUCCUCAAGAGAGUCUAAACGAACCUGCUGGUUAUCCAUUUGAGCCUUCUGGCUAUCCAUUUGAGCCUUCAUCUGAGCAGUCUCUUCAUCCUG
rnacentral:lncRNA from 1 species